rnacentral:tRNA from 1 species
CGGGGUGUGGCGCAGCUUGGUAGCGCAUUGCGUUUGGGACGCAAGGGUCGCAGGUUCAAAUCCUGUCACCCCGA